CCUACGGGCGGCAGCAGUCGAGAAUCAUUCACAAUGGGGGAAACCCUGAUGGUGCGACGCCGCGUGGGGGAAUGAAGGUCUUCGGAUUGUAAGCCCCUGUCAUGUGGGAGCAAAUUAAAAAGAUAGUACCACAAGAGGAAGAGACGGCUAACUCUGUGCCAGCAGCCGCGCUAAUACAGAGGGCUCAAGCGUUGUUCGGAAUCACUGGGCGUAAAGGGUGCGUAGGCGGUUGCGUAAGUCGUGUGUGAAAGGCGCGGGCUCAACCCGCGGACGGCACAUGAUACUGCGAGACUAGAGUGAUGGAGGGGGAACCGGAAUUCUCGGUGUAGCAGUGAAAUGCGUAGAUAUCGGGAGGAACACCCGUGGCGAAGGCGGGUUCCUGGACAUUAACUGACGCUGAGGCACGAAGGCCAGGGGAGCGAAAGGGAUUAGAUACCCUAGUAGUC
rnacentral:rRNA from 1 species